AAUUAUUAUAGCGCCUGGACAGAAAUUAUCUGUUGACGAGGAUGAAGUUUAUCGAAAAAUUCGGCGGAUGCUUCAUGGUAUGCUACUACCAAAUAUAUUAUCAAAAAUUAUUAGCAAUAAUAUAACAAAUUA
rnacentral:ncRNA from 1 species